rnacentral:rRNA from 1 species
CUGUGACAUACCUAAAACGUUGCUUCGGCGGGAACAGACGGCCCCGUAACACGGGCCGCCCCCGCCAGAGGACCCCCUAACUCUGUUUCUAUUAUGUUUCUUCUGAGUAAAACAAGCAAAUAAAUUAAAACUUUCAACAACGGAUCUCUUGGCUCUGGCAUCGAUGAAGAACGCAGCGAAAUGCGAUAAGUAAUGUGAAUUGCAGAAUUCAGUGAAUCAUCGAAUCUUUGAACGCACAUUGCGCCCGCCAGUAUUCUGGCGGGCAUGCCUGUUCGAGCGUCAUUACAACCCUCAGGCCCCCGGGCCUGGCGUUGGGGAUCGGCGAGGCGCCCCCUGCGGGCACACGCCGUCCCCCAAAUACAGUGGCGGUCCCGCCGCAGCUUCCAUUGCGUAGUAGCUAACACCUCGCAACUGGAGAGCGGCGCGGCCACGCCGUAAAACACCCAACUUCUGAAUGUUGACCUCGAAUCAGGUAGGAAUACCCGCUGAACUUAAGCAUAUCAAUAAGCGGAGGAA